CGGGCUGAUGCUGCAGGUGUGGCCCCACCUGGCACGCUGGGCAGCCCUCGAUGCCUGCCCACGGAGAGGGCCAGCUCAGUCAGACCAGUUUCCUCGCAAACGUCUCCACAACAUGGUUCUACACCAGCCGCCCUGCUCGAGGGAGCCCCAGCGUCUGCGGAUAGAGAUGCCCCAGCUCUCGCCAGUCCACUCAUGGCACGACCCUGGUCACGCAUCUUUGCUCCCACACACAGAGCCCAGGACGCACCCUCCUGAGAGAAUGUGAGGGGCUCCACUCUGACCUCGGGAUCUUCCUCUCACCACGUAUCGGCAUCAACAUGGAAGGGCCAGAGCAACAGCUGGCACAUGCCCUUCCUUCCCCCGCCUUCCCAUUCCUUUCUCAGGCAUACCCUGUCCAUGCAGGAGCCCAGGUCCAUGGACAAUCUGCAAGAAAGGAAGGCGUGAGUGCCGCCCUCUGCGGGUUUUCUGGAAAGGCGACCGAUCGGUAAAGCCGCAGAGGCAGGAAAUCGCCCUUCUCAGAAGUAGGCGGGGACUGUCCCCUCUCCCACAAGUCCCACCGAGAGUGGGCUCCUAGGCUCCCUAGACAGGGAAAGGAGCCACUUGCUGUCACCUGCUUGCUACGGGGAUGUCACGUGGAUCUGGUCUCACCGUGUGCCGUGUGGGACGACGGCCGUGUUACAGGAAAGUGUUGCAACCGUGCUCAGCUCAGCAGUAUCGGCUGCCCCGAGCAGCUGGGAGGCCCAGCUCGGCCUCCAGAGCCUUGUAAAAAUUGAUAAAGUCGGAAAGCCACCCUUGGAGAAGAGGAAACUGAGGCGCACUCACCCGCCGCCAGAGGCAGGGCAUGGAUUCCAGCCCGAGAAGCCAACUCAGAGUCAUGCUCCAGACCCCUAAGCUAUAAUUUGUGUUCUCUAGCACUCGAGAUAUCUAGCGUUUAAUGUGGAAAAAUGGUUCCAUUCUGUCUCACCCCAUACCCCAAAAUAAACUUAGAUUAAAGGCAAAAAGCACAAUUAUAAAAACACUGGAGAAAAUACAAGAGCAUAUUCAUACACUCUCAGGAGACAAACAGAAUACAAAAUCCAAACCUUAAAGGAAAUAAUUGACAAUUUUGACUAUGUAAAAUUUAAAAACUUCUAUGGGAUGAAAACAGCACCGUUAGAAAGUUAAAUGUUAAGCAGCAGACUGCGAACACGUGUCUGCAAUAUAAACACAAAAAGUACUAAUAUUCAUCAUAUGUAAAGAACUCCCACAAAUCAAUAAGAAAUAAGCGAACAACCCAAUAGAAAAGUGGUAAAGGGUAAGAACAGAAAAAAUAUUAAAAUGAGUUAAUGACAAAAUAUCCAACUUCGCCAUUAAUCAUAGAAGUAAGGAGUUGAAACAUUUUAUGACAAAAUCCAUGUCACUCAGGUGAAGCACGGGUACAAUGACAUAGUCUGUGAAAAAAUGGGAGCAGCCUUUUGAGGGGUGAU